rnacentral:misc_RNA from 1 species
UAAUAAGUGUUUUAUGCACUUUUUAAAUCCAUAUCCACCUUGUGUGCAAUGUCAGUCGAUCUUCUUCAUGGAGAUCGACCAAACAUCAACCUUUAUCUUUUAACUCUUUGUCUGAAAAAUAUUAUGAAUAAACAAUUCAAAAUA